UACGUAGGGUGCAAGCGUUAUCCGGAAUUAUUGGGCGUAAAGAGCUCGUAGGCGGUUUGUCACGUCUGCUGUGAAAACUGGAGGCUCAACCUCCAGCCUGCAGUGGGUACGGGCAGACUAGAGUGCGGUAGGGGAGAUUGGAAUUCCUGGUGUAGCGGUGGAAUGCGCAGAUAUCAGGAGGAACACCGAUGGCGAAGGCAGACCUCUGGGCCGUAACUGACGCUGAGGAGCGAAAGCAUGGGGAGCGAACAGG
rnacentral:rRNA from 1 species